rnacentral:misc_RNA from 1 species
CGCACACUCGCAGUCGACCUCGGAGUUGCCCGAAACACUGUUGCGGACUGUUACGCCGAGCUCGCCGCAGCUGGGUGGCUUGUCACACGGCCGGGUUCCGGAACCGUGGUCGCCACGCUCGCCAGCACACACAGUCGCGAGGUCGAGCCGUCACCGACCCGACGGCGCUUGACCUACAGCCUUCUCCCCGGAUCGCCGGACGCGUCGGCGUUUCCCCGCACUGCAUGGAUUUCGUCCGCCAGACGUGCUUUGACCACCGCGCCGACCGACGCAUUCGCGACCACUGAUCCCAGAGG